CAGGGUUGAGUGAAAUGGUUAGGAUAAAAUAAGAAUUCAUCCUAAACUGAAAGUGAAUCCUUUUGUGAGAUUCAAAGAAGUUCAGAUAACCUUAAAAUAUUGUUUAUUAAUAUUAAUAAUAAUACCUAGCUCUUACAUUUAGCUAACCACCCAAAAUUUGAGUAUUUAAUUUGAUCCUACUUCUAAUGUUUUUUUAAAUUCACUAUUUAUAAAGUGCAAUAUCUUGAUGGAAUAUAGCCUGUGGGGCCUGAUCCUGUAAAAUAUGAAUGACUUUGGGAAGUGCCAAACACCCUUAACUCCCAUUGGCUUUGAGGAGUUUUGAAGACACUGAGUAAUUUACAAGAUGGGGCAUGUUUUGUUCUUAUUCAGAUAUGCUCUUCAUUAGGGAACAUGAGGGCAGCAAGGUGGUCCAGUGGUUGGGCACUGAACUGGAAGACCUUAUACAUUCCUUGGACAAGUCAUUUUAACUGCUCUGUAUCUCAGUUUCCCUCACCAGUGAUCAAGAGGAGGGAAAGCAUUAUAUAAAUAUUACUAUUUGUUGUUCAAGACAGCUGCACAUUUACCAGCCCAGAUCUGAAAGUCAGAAUUUGAACUGCCAAGAGAUUUUAGUGGAAAUUACAGCAGUUUCAGACAGAUUACUGAAGCACAGUCUGAAGUGGAAGUGAGAGGGGGCAUUUUAACAACAGCUAAAAGCUUUCUAGAAGUUUGUAUGAUUUUCUGUGGAAGUUUAGGGCAUUCAUAUGUUCCCGUCUCCCCAGAUAAUUAGUGAGCUUUGUUGCCAGAUUUCCAUUUUGGAGUUGUAGAAAAACUUUUCAGAUAAAAAUGAGAUAUUUCAAACUGAGAAGGUUCAAACAUUUGUGCAUCUUGAAUAUUUAUAAAAUAUUAUCAGAUCUGCUUGACCUUUGCUUAUAUUUACAUGCUUAUCUUAGCAGGGCUCUGAGGGUAUGUAUGACUGUAUCCAGGAGGAGCCAUUGGCCCACCUGCAUGCUGGACAGUGAUAAAGUGCUGGGCCCAUGCACAAGUCUGAGCCACAAUCCUGGCUCCAAUGAAAUCCAUGGGAGUUUUGCUAUUGACUUCAGUGGGGUCAGGAUUUUGGCCUCGGGAAGGAUAAAGUGAGCUUAAACUCAUUUUAAGAUUGCUGUAGGAUACAUGCAGGAUGCUCUUUUUCAAUCGUGACUGUAUUAUACUCAAUAGACCAGAUUUAGAUGACCUGCUGUUUGGCCUCCAGCGUAGCCCAAGAGCAAGGGGACCACAACAGCCAUCUCUGUAGCUCUUAGAUUUUCAGAGUGCUGGACAUAUUCUGUUACUACUAUUUGAGAAAAGAAAUCCACUCAAAUCAUUAGUGUGCAUAUGGAGAUUACAUGGCAAGAUUGUAUAAUCAUCCCUGAGGUUUUAAAAUGGGUUCUUCCAUAUUCUUUUGAAUAAUGCCCAUUUAUCUAUUUGAAAUUACAUCAGUGUUAAUGGACAGACACAUCUUAUCGGGAGGAAAUCUGAUGUGAAGAGCAGACAAGUUUUCCUUUUGAGGUGCCUGAUACAAGAAGAAUGGUGAACAUCUCUUUAUCUUAAAGCACUUCACAAAAGUACUGAGCUUUUACUAUGGUUGUACAUAAACCUAAUCUUCUGAAUAUUACAUUUACUAUCUGGGAUUCUGGACAAUGAUUGUCUGCAAGUCUGAGCCUAUUUGGCUGGUGGAUUGGAUAGGAGAGAACACAGGCAGCACCAGUAACCAAAUAGGAAAAGAUGUAAAAGACUAAUGAGACUGCACCAGAAGGCUUGUAAAGACCUCAAAUUAAAAAAAGGAAUCACACAUAACAUUUGAAAGAGGAGAUAUUACCAGAAUACAGGGGAAGAAGUACAGUAGAACUUCAGAGCUGCAAACACCUUGGGAUUGAGGUUGUUCAUAACACUGAACAAAAUGUUAUGGUUGUUCUUUCAGAAGUUUACAGCUGAAUA